rnacentral:rRNA from 1 species
UACGGGGGGGGCAAGCGUUGUUCGGAAUUACUGGGCGUAAAGGGCUCGUAGGUGGCCAACUAAGUCGGACGUGAAAUCCCCCGGCUCAACCGGGGAACGGGCACCGAUACGAGCGGCCUGGAGGGGAGUAGGGGGACCUGGAACUUCCGGUGGAGCGGUGAAAUGCGUUGAGAUCGGAAGGAACGCCCGUGGCGAAAGCGAGGUCCUGGGCUCCUGCUGACGCUGAGACGCGAAAGCCAGGGGAGCGAACGGG